UCUAACGGCUUCAUUUAGGAUCCUGGG
rnacentral:sRNA from 1 species